AUCGUAGAAAAUCACGAACAGUAAAAAGAAAAUAAAACCUGUGUGCACCUAAUCGAUAUGCAGUGUUAUCUCGUCGCCUCGCACGUGCAAGACAAAUCGGACAUAAAUAUAUUAUGUUUUGUAUAGUCGAAUACAGUAUCGACGACCCGUAUAUUAUACAGGUGCCCCACAAGGAUCUGGCCGAAUGCAAUUACUUUUGUUCCGUUCGAUAUUUUCGAGUUUCUCGUGACGAUAUUAUACUAAAUACCCACGCUACGCGAAUUUGAUUUCUAUUUAUUUUUCUUCAACCACUGUGAAAUUAUUUAAGCCUUA